rnacentral:rRNA from 1 species
UACGUAGGGUGCAAGCGUUAAUCGGAAUUACUGGGCGUAAAGCGUGCGCAGGCGGUUGUGCAAGACCGAUGUGAAAUCCCCGGGCUUAACCUGGGAAUGGCAUUGGUGACUGCACGGCUAGAGUGUGUCAGAGGGGGGGUAGAAUUCCACGUGUAGCAGUGAAAUGCGUAGAGAUGUGGAGGAAUACCGAUGGCGAAGGCAGCCCCCUGGGAUAACACUGACGCUCAUGCAACGAAAGCGUGGGGGAGCAAACAGGG